GGCAGGUAUGUUGAGAGUGGAGGCAGGGAUGUUGAGAGUGGAAGCAGGGACGUUGAGAGUGGAGGCAGGGACGUUGAGAGUGGAGGCAGGUACGUUCAGAGUGGAGGCAGGGACGUUGAGAGUGGAGGCAGGGACGUUGAGAGUGGAGGCAGGGA